rnacentral:rRNA from 1 species
GGUGAACGCUGGCGGCGUGCCUAAGACAUGCAAGUCGAGCGGGGCAGGUUUAUACCUGUUCAGCGGCGGACGGGUGAGUAACGCGUGGGUGACCUACCCGGAAGAGGCGGACAACCUGGGGAAACCCAGGCUAAUCCGCCAUGUGGUCCUGUCCUGUGGGGCAGGACUAAAGGGGCGACCCGCUUCCGGAUGGGCCCGCGUCCCAUCAGCUAGUUGGUGGGGUAAAGGCCCACCAAGGCGACGACGGGUAGCCGGUCUGAGAGGAUGGCCGGCCACAGGGGCACUGGGACACGGGCCCCACUCCUACGGGAGGCAGCAGUUAGGAAUCUUCCGCAAUGGACGGAAGUCUGACGGAGCGACGCCGCUUGGAGGAGGAAGCCCUUCGGGGUGUAAACUCCUGAACUGGGGACGAAAGCCCCGUGUAGGGGGAUGACGGUACCCAGGUAAUAGCGCCGGCCAACUCCGUG